rnacentral:tRNA from 1 species
UGGUGCAGUGGUUAAAGCACUUGGCUGAUAACCAAAACUUGGUGGUUCAAAUCCACC